GUUAGCGGCGUUCCUUCUUCUCCUUCAGUUCCUUGGUGAGCUUGGUACCUGAUGACACAUAGAGCACUUGCAUGAAGUAGCAAGCCAUCCAAUGGGGUAUCGAGAUCAAGGGUAGUGAGGAUUGAGUUCACCUUAUCAUGUAGCGCUUUGACUCGAGCCCGUGUCAUCGGUCCACUUGGGGGACUUGUUGGUCUAGGUGUAGCGUCGUCGGUGAGCGGGGCUACAUCAUAUGUGUAAUCGGCUGGGUUAUGAUUGUGUAGUCUUUAGUUGUUACCUUAUGCGCUCUCUUAUAUUCUCUGAUUAGACAAAUGUUGUAGCGUGUCUCUAUUGGUUAUAGUUUUGCUGCCGCUAAACCUACCAUAUAGCCCCCGGUGAUAUAUUCGCCUGGCGAGCAUAACCAUUUCUAGUCCCGCUAAGUACGUGCCGGAGUUCGUUCCUUGGUACAAGAUGACGACGUUAGCAAGGUUACCCUUCCGGCUUGGCCUGGGCAGGGUUAUGGACGCCAUCGUUUAUCUUCAGGACUCUUAGUCCAAUUUGUAUCUUGUCCGUACUCGGACGUAUUCGAUCUUCUGUAUGAUUUGGAUCUUUGUAUUGUAUAUUUGUAUCUUGACUCGUUGGAGCCUUUGUUGUAAUAUA